CGACGCUUACGAGAUUUUGUAAGCUUCGUAAGAUUUUCUCAUCGAAAAACGCGUUACUACGCUUACGAUGUUUACGAAGCUUGACCCCUUGUUUUUUCUUCGUAGUUCAAAGCCGAAAAUUCUCACUUGUACAUGAUCAUCUAAUUUCUUUCUCGCACUCCUAUCUGUCACGAAAAGUUUUCAAAUUAUUCAUCCGGUGUGAAAUAAAUUUUCUGAAAUUUGAAAACUUCCAAAUAACUCAAGAAGGUAAGACGAAUCUAAUUUUAAAAAGUGUUCACGAACUAAUUUCACAAUCAAAUUGUAGAAGAAAUGGCACCGAGAAAAAAAAUAAAAGAAGGAGAAGUGGCGAGUACUAAAAUCGGGGAUGAAGCAGCAACUAAAACACGAAGAUGUUGGACUUCAAAAGAAAUCGAAUCUGUUUUGCAGCAUUUAGUGGAUGUCAUAAAAUCAGGAAAAUGUUCAUCAUCAAGUUGGAAAUUUGAAAAAAAAGUACCAACAAACUUUGACAUGGAGGAGUCAGACAGGCCAAGGAGUGUUAGCGGAGCAUGGAGAGCAGUACUUUAAGGAUACAAUUAAGCAAAUGUGCCCUCAUUUUGAUACCCUGGACGAGAUAUUUGGAGAGAAGCUCAGCAUCAACCCUCCAUUCACUCUGGAUUCCUCUGAAAUAAAUAAUGACAACGGUCAGCAAGUCCCGGCGGAUAACUUUUUUGACUUGAACGACCAUUUAACAAACGUUCAAGAAGUCGGACCGUCACAAGAUAACCCAAUUAUUCGCACUGGAACUAAGCGAAAAUCUCGGUCGCCGAUCCCCUCCUCAGGAUCAAAAGCGUUGUCAGAUCUCAUCAUGCGACAAGAAAUGCAUAAAGCGGAUAUCGAAUUUCAACGAGAAAAAUGGGACUUUGACAAGCAUCAGAAAGAACUACAACUUGAACUACCAAAA